UACAGAGGGGGCAAGCGUUGUUCGGAAUUACUGGGCGUAAAGGGCGCGUAGGCGGCCUUCUAAGUCGAACGUGAAAUCCCCGGGCUCAACCCGGGAACUGCGUCCGAUACUGGAAGGCUUGAAUCCGGGAGAGGGAUGCGGAAUUCCAGGUGUAGCGGUGAAAUGCGUAGAUAUCGGGAGGAACACCAGUGGCGAAGGCGGGCACCUGGGCUAACACUGACGCUGAUGCGCGAAAGCUAGGGGAGCAAACAGG
rnacentral:rRNA from 1 species